GCCCCUAAGACAGGCACACGUGAACACCGCAAACAGGAAUAUGCAAUGAAGAAACAGAAAGAUCGUCUAAUGAGUAUGAGCAACUUGCACGAUCGCAUGGCGGGAAGAAAAAAGAAGGAAAGAAAAAGAAAUACGGAAUGCAGAGAUUGGCCAGCAGCAUUUGAUUAAUUCUGAACAAGUGUUUCUUCUUAUUCUCUUUGAAAAAGUAUUUUGUCAUAAAAGUUAUGAUAAGAUAAGAUAAGAUUACAGGACAAGGAAGUUACUUUAUUUUUGUUAAUAAAAGAGGUAAUUGCUGAUUAAAAAUAACAUCAUCUAUAUCUAUAUCACUUGUAAGAAGCUUGUAAGAAGCUAAGAAAAAGGAGCGGCGUCUGCAGGAUGGAAUCCAGGUGGAUUGAUUCCGAA